UAUGAGAAACCUUCACAAAGCAAUGGCCUCUUCUUUGUCUCUUCUUUUUUGUUUCUUCUAUCAUCGCUCGUUGGUGCUAUUGGAUGAGCUUGCCUCAGUCAUUCCCUCUUUGCCCGUAUAGCUUUUAUGGUCUCUUCAUUAGGAAUCAACGACCCAGAUGAGUUAUUGCUAGUUGUAAGCCAUAUUGAAGCCAAUUUGUUUUGGGCAUCAUCUCUAACAUUGUGAGAGAAGUUAACCCUUUUCUCAUUAAGCUCGUAUUGUUCGUCCUCAUAUUGGGCAUAUUGUAGUAUGAUCAAUCAAAACUAUCUAAGGUGGAGUUCAAAAAUGACAUACUUUAUCCACGUGUAUUCAAGCAAGAAAACAAUGAUGAUUGUAGAGUUCAUCUCAUUACAUGGCUUAAAUUUCGAAACAAUACCGUAUUGAUCAUCCUUCGCUUGCCAUGCCUAAAUACAUAAUCCAAGAACUAUCAGGCAUGAGGUGCGAUAUUUUGUGCUGGCUAGUAGAGAAUCCCAAUAAUGUCAUGGGCGAAUGCCUACUUGCACUUAUAGGAACAAGCAAAUGAAAAGAAAAAUCAUAGGAUUGUGGAAUUAGGUUUUUCUAGUUGGAUGAUGCAUAUAUUUUAUGAUGCUUUUUUAUAAUUUGAAAUUGGUUUUUUGUUUGUAAUUGGAAUUAUAUAUAUAUAUAUAUAUAUAUUAGUGAAAAUGAAAUGAAAUCUACA